UGUCCAGACUCCUACGGGAGGCAGCAGUGAGGAAUAUUGGUCAAUGGGCGCGAGCCUGAACCAGCCAAGUCGCGUGAGGGAUGACGGUCCUACGGAUUGUAAACCUCUUUUGCCGGGGAGCAAGCGUGCGUUCGUGAACGCGCGUCGAGAGUACCCGGAGAAAAAGCAUCGGCUAACUCCGUGCCAGCAGCCGCGGUAAUACGGAGGAUGCGAGCGUUAUCCGGAUUUAUUGGGUUUAAAGGGUGCGCAGGCGGCACGGCAAGCCGGCGGUCAAAUCGCGGGGCUCAACCCCGCCCAGCCGUCGGAACUGCCGGGCUAGAGUGGGCGAGAAGUGCGCGGAAUGCGUGGUGUAGCGGUGAAAUGCAUAGAUAUCACGCAGAACUCCGAUUGCGAAGGCAGCGCACCGGCGCCCUACUGACGCUCAGGCACGAAAGCGUGGGUAUCGAACAGGAUUAGAUACCCCUGUAA
rnacentral:rRNA from 1 species